rnacentral:rRNA from 1 species
GACGAACUCUGGCGGCGUGCUUAACACAUGCAAGUCGAACGGUAAGGCUCCAGCUUGCUGGGGUACACGAGUGGCGAACGGGUGAGUAACACGUGGGUGACCUGCCCUGCACUUCGGGAUAAGCCUGGGAAACUGGGUCUAAUACCGGAUAGGACCGCACCGUGAGGGUGUGGUGGAAAGUUUUUUCGGUGUGGGAUGGGCCCGCGGCCUAUCAGCUUGUUGGUGGGGUAAUGGCCUACCAAGGCGGCGACGGGUAGCCGGCCUGAGAGGGUGGACGGCCACAUUGGGACUGAGACACGGCCCAGACUCCUACGGGAGGCAGCAGCGGGGAAUAUUGCACAAUGGGCGGAAGCCUGAUGCAGCGACGCCGCGUGGGGGAUGACGGCCUUCGGGUUGUAAAUUCCUUUCACCAUCGACGAAGGGUUUCUGACGGUAGAUGGAGAAGAAGCACCGGCUAACUACGUGCCAGCAGCCGCGGUAAUACGUAGGGUGCGAGCGUUGUCCGGAAUUACUGGGCGUAAAGAGCUCGUAGGUGGUUUGUCGCGUCGUCUGUGAAAUUCCGGGGCUUAACUCCGGGCGUGCAGGCGAUACGGGCAUAACUUGAGUACUGUAGGGGAGACUGGAAUUCCUGGUGUAGCGGUGAAAUGCGCAGAUAUCAGGAGGAACACCGGUGGCGAAGGCGGGUCUCUGGGCAGUAACUGACGCUGAGGAGCGAAAGCAUGGGGAGCGAACAGGAUUAGAUACCCUGGUAGUCCAUGCCGUAAACGGUGGGCGCUAGGUGUGGGUUUCCUUCCACGGGAUCCGUGCCGUAGCUAACGCAUUAAGCGCCCCGCCUGGGGAGUACGGCCGCAAGGCUAAAACUCAAAGGAAUUGACGGGGGCCCGCACAAGCGGCGGAGCAUGUGGAUUAAUUCGAUGCAACGCGAAGAACCUUACCUGGGCUUGACAUAUACAGGAUCGCGCCAGAGAUGGUGUUUCCCUUGUGGCUUGUAUACAGGUGGUGCAUGGUUGUCGUCAGCUCGUGUCGUGAGAUGUUGGGUUAAGUCCCGCAACGAGCGCAACCCUUGUCUUAUGUUGCCAGCACGUUGUGGUGGGGACUCGUAAGAAACUGCCGGGGUUAACUCGGAGGAAGGUGGGGAUGACGUCAAAUCAUCAUGCCCCUUAUGUCCAGGGCUUCACACAUGCUACAAUGGUCGGUACAGUGGGUUGCCAGUCCGUGAGGGCGAGCUAAUCCCGCAAAGCCGGUCUCAGUUCGGAUCGGGGUCUGCAACUCGACCCCGUGAAGUCGGAGUCGCUAGUAAUCGCAGAUCAGCAACGCUGCGGUGAAUACGUUCCCGGGCCU